GCCUCGUUGGCUCAGAGGCAGAGCGUCUGUCCCGUAAACAGAAGGCCGAUGGUCGAUUCCAGAAUGAGGCA
rfam:Ascaris suum AG15859, whole genome shotgun sequence.